AUGCUGCAUGCGAGAUGCGGGAUGCUGGGCACUGGAGGCCCGGGACGCGGGUCCGAGAGCGCGGAAGGGGCGGGGCUGGGCAGCCUAAGAGGCCGCGCUCGCUCCGGACCGCCCUGCCCCAUGUUCCUCCCCGCGUCCCUCCGGCUCCUGGCGCUUCGUAGAGCCCAAAGGCUGAGAGGGGUUAGAGGCGCCGAUCACACCCUAGAAGUCGUUUAUGUCGAGCUGUGGAUGUUACAAGCGUUAUUUGGCCAGGACAGCGAGAUGCUGGCGGCCUUCUACGGGUGGUUCAGGGUCUCCCUCGUGGUCAGCGCAGUCCCAGGAUGCGGAGUCCUGGUCUUCAUCAUCGGAUCGCCCCUUUACCAGUAUGUGACCAAGUUCCUCAUCGUGGCAAUAUGUUUCCAGCUUCGGGUCCGCCGAAAUCGAGGUGAGGGGUUUCAGGAGCCCUGGCCAGGAAUGCUUCCUUCGGCCAGCAGUCUGGCCAGAGCUCGGACCAGACAGCUGCUAAAUUCUACGCGGGCCUGGAGGCGCUCGGGUUAA
ensembl:lncRNA